AUGGGUUCGGACCGGCAACAUGGUGGCUCGGGGGACGUGGUGGCGCCGAAAGGGCGGAAGAGACAGAGACAGCUGCUGCUGGAGUCCAGCGACUCUGAAGCGGAUGAAUCUUGCCUCUUGACGCGGCACAAGUCAGACGAGCCUAAUGCCGCCUUAGGCAACGGUGAUCAAUCAGUGGAGAAAGUGGUGCCUCCUAGUUCUGAGCUUCCUGGGGCUAAAACUACUCAAAGAGAUGGUUCAGAGAAGAACAAGGGAGAUGAACUUAACAGUGCCAGCAGUCGAAAUGGCGAUGACCUGUCAGAGGAGAAAGUGGUGCCUCUUAGUUCUGACAAGCUCCACAGGGUCAAGUCCACUCAAGGAGACUAUCCAGAGAAGAAUAAGGGAGAUAAGAACAGCAGGAGUAGCUCACAGCCUGACUCCAAGAGGAGCAAAAUCGAGGAUGCCAAAGUUGGUGCUUUUGGAAACGGUGGAAGUGCUUCAAAGGAUGUAACUGUAGCAAAAAUGCUGCGUCCAGGGUUCCCAAAAUGGCGGUUCGAGAAGCCCGAGGUAAGGGCUGGACGAGUUGAUGAGAAAGGUGGGGUGGAGAUGAAGGCAACCAUUGGCUCAAAGGUCAAGGAGCAGGCAUCGAGCUUGGAUGACAAGAGGAGACAUGUAGAGCUACUGAAACGUAAGAAACACAAGCCGUUGAAGACUGACAUGAGCAACUCGGUUGACUCUGGCCGACAGGAACGUGGGGAGGAGACGAAGGCAAAGUUCAAGGAGCAGGACUCAAGUUUGGAUGUCAAGAGGAGGCCAGUAGGAUCACUGGAACAUGAGAAACACAUACUGCUGAAGACUGACAAGGCUAGCUUGGCUGGGUCUGUCCAAGGGGAAGUUAUAAGGGUUCAAGGGAAAAGUGGCCUUUUGAAGAUCCUGCCAAAGAACGAUAAGGUGCUCAGGGAAACUAGCGAUGGCAAGAUUCUGCCGAAGAAGUCGAAUGUUGAUGGGGAUACCAGUGAUGGCAAUACUCUGCCAAAGAAUGUUAAGGUGGAGGCUGGGGAUGGCAAGAUUCCGACGAAGAGUGGUGUUUUAAAGCUUCUUCCGAAGAACAAUAAGAUGGUCAGAGAAAACACUGAUGAAAACCUUAUUCCCAAGAACAUUAAGUUGGAGGGGGAGACCAGUGAUGGCAAGAUUUUGAUGAAGACCAGUAAGAUGGAUACAGGAAGCGGCGAUGACAAGGUCGCGACUAAGAACUGUAUGGUGGAUUUAAAAGCUGUUGCUGGCAAGUUUCCGUCGAGGAACAGUAGGAUGGAUGAAGAGACCAUUACUGGCUAUGAACAGGAUAAGGAUAAAAGCAGUGCUCUGAUCGAGUCCCAAAAGCGGGAUUUAAAUGGUGGGAAGAAAGUUACUGGAAAGCUGGUCUCCUCUGUCAUAUUGAGGAGAAGCGAUCCAAGCGUAGUGGGAGUUUCUUCAGGCCAUGCUGUGAAACAGAAAAGUUCAAAGGUGCAGCCGAAGAUCUCCUCACAAGGCAAUCAUCAGCCCUCACCAAGCCUGAAAGAUGAGAAAAAUGAACUUGGUGAACACAAAAAUGAGAAGAAGAGAUUGCUUGAGCAUAAAGGUUCACCAGAGAAUUUAUCCAAGAAAGUAAAAUUGGAAGUCACUGAUCUGCAAGGCACAUCUGAUUCUGCUCCCAAGAAGCAUGUCAUGAUGAAGAAACCAAGGGGAGGACCUCGUAGUGCACUUAAGCAGAAACUCCGGGAUCAGAUUAAAGGUAUACUAUUACAUAACGGAUGGACAAUUGAUCUAAGGCCUCGGAAAGAUAAAGAUUAUGAAGAUUCUGUGUAUGUUUCUCCACAAGGUAGUAGCUAUUGGUCAAUCACAAAGGCUUAUGCAGUGUUCCAAGAGCAAGUGAAAAGUUCACAGGAUGAGAACCCUACAGGUGGACCAGGUGUUGCAGAUGCUUCCUUUGAUGCCAUAUCAAAAGAGGACCUAGCAAUGCUACAAAGAAUUGUGCGGAAAAGAAAGGGCAAAAAAGAACAUUCUGCUGAGAAGAAGGGAGGGGACAACAGAAGCAGGACCUCAAAAGGUGCCUCUGCUGGUAGAAGUUCUAGAAACAAGUAUCAGAACAACAAAGAGAAGGUAAAAGCCAAGCAUCUGGGAUGUGCACUUCUUGUCCAUGGUAGUGCUCGUAAUAUGGAAGGCAUGGGUAACUACGUUCCAUAUAAAUGGAAGAGGACGGUUUUAUCGUGGAUGAUAGAUCUGGGUGUUGUUUCACAAGAUGCGAAGGUCAAAUACAUGGACAAAAAAGGAACACAGGCAAUAUUAGAUGGUAGAAUUACCAGGAAUGGUAUUUACUGCGGAUGCUGUUCCAAGAUUCUCACAGCUGCUAAGUUUGAACUUCAUGCUGGUUCAAAAGAGCAUCAGCCUUAUGCAAACAUCUUCCUAGAAGAUGGUGGGGUUCCAUUGUUGCAAUGCUUACUUGAUGCAUGGGAUAAGCAAUCACAACAUGAAAAGAAGGGAUUUUACAAGAUAGAUCCUGCUGAUGAUCCUGAUGAUGAUACUUGUGGUAUUUGUGGUGAUGGCGGUGACUUGCUCUGCUGCGAUCGCUGUACUUCAACUUUUCAUGUGGCUUGCUUAGGAAUCGAGAUGCCUUCUGGAGAUUGGUAUUGUCGUAGCUGUAUAUGCAAAUUCUGCAGCUCUGCUGAAGAAAUGACACCGUCUUUCACUGAGUUGCUUUCUUGCUUGCAAUGUUCAAGAAAAUAUCACCAGGUUUGUACACCUGGAACUGAGAGGGACUCCGUUUGUACCCCACCCGGUGCCUCCAUUGAUCACUUCUGCAGCCCAGGAUGUAGAAAGAUUUAUAAACGACUAAAAAAGCUUCUUGGGUUCAAGAAUAAUAUGGAAGCCGGAUUUUCCUGGAGUCUGGUUCGCUGUUUUGCUGAAAGUGAGGCUGCACCCAUGAAAAGGAAAGCAGAAUUUGUAUAUUGCAACUCAAAGACAGCUGUUGCUUUCUCAGUUAUGAAUGAGUGCUUUUUGCCACGUAUCGAUGAGAGAAGUGGGAUUAAUAUAAUUCACAAUGUCGUAUACAAUUGUGGGUCGGAUUUCAAUCGUUUAAAUUUUAGUGACUUCUAUACAUUUAUUCUGGAGCGUGGAGAAGAAGUUAUAUCUGCGGCAACUGUCAGGAUUCAUGGAACUGAGUUAGCAGAAAUGCCAUUCAUAGGCACAAGGGGCAUGUAUCGGGGCCAAGGGAUGUGCCAUCGACUGCUCAAUGCAAUUGAAUCGGCCCUUUGCUCUCUUAAUGUUCGAAGACUAGUAAUACCUGCCAUACCCGAAAUGCAGAAGACCUGGACUACAGUUUUUGGGUUUAAGCCUGUUGGCCCUAUGAAGAAGCAAAAAAUGAAGUCUUUUAAUCUCUUGAUUAUCCAUGGUACUGGUCUUCUGGAGAAGCGCUUGUUGCUAACAGCUCAAGUGAAUCGACAAACUGCUUCUGUGACAGUUAAUGCCGUUGAAUGUGACAAGACAGCUUCUCAAACGUUUGGGGAAGCAAGUGGAUCCCUUACACCUGUUUAUGUUUCUCAAGAAUUUGCUGUGGGUGGUCAUCCUGAAACUAAGGAUCAUGACACUUGUGCUUUGAUUGAGGGCUCUUCAGGCUUGGCAUCUAACCUUCCUCCUGUUUCUGAAGAAAAAACUGAAGAAACUAUUUCAACAGUUUCCAUAGCUGAUGUUAAUUUGCAUAUAAGUGAAGAUGACAUGCCUUGCAAGGCUUUAGCUGACAUUACGGAAAAAGUGAAAUAUGCAGAAACAGAUUUGACAUUGGUUGCUGAUAAGAUUGUUGUAGAAGAGAAGCCUGAAGAUAAAUCUAGCUCCAGUUCUGCAGAUUCAAAGGCUAUUCCAGUGACAGUGGAUCCAUGCCCAUGUUCAUUUGAUGAGCUUGGGAAAUAUGAAAAUUACCCACCUAGUGUACAUUCUGUUGAUGCUGUUCUCGUAAAAGACAGACCUGAAUCUAAUUUCAGCACCAGUUCCAUCUCUGGCCGCUUUGAUACUCAAGAAGAUAAGAAGUCUUGUGUAGUUCCUGCUAAUACUGAAGUUCCUUUAGUCACUAUGGGUCGAAAGCCUGAUAACCACGAGUUCAAAACUAUUGUCGCUGAUGGUGGUGAUAUGCAAAGCUCACUAGAAGUUAAAUAUUUGGAAGUUCUAGUAGAUGAAAGAUCAACAGAUGCCUAUGCAGCUAAAAAUAAAGCAUUUGUUGGUGGUGUAACUAGUUAUGCUGUUGCUGUUACUAAAGACAAUGGUCAUUCUGCAGUUGAUCUUGUAGUAUCAGCAGAGAGAUCACUGGAUGAAACAAAUUCUGUAGAGUGUGAUAAGAGUGAAGUUAAGGUUGCAACAGUCGAAGUGGGUGCUAUAGUCGAGAGCUCUAAUGGGGCAGGCAUUACAGUUUCGGCGCUUGAAAAAUCAGAUGACUUCAAUGGUGAAGUUACCGCAAAGCCUACUCUAACUUGUGGGGAUGGUCAACUUCAUUGA
rnacentral:rRNA from 1 species